AAAAAUUUUAUUAAUGAGAGCACGGCGAAUAGAAAUUAUUGCGGAUCCAACGCGGUUUUAUUGCGGUGCAAGGUAGAGGGGUGCGGUACUGGCUCACAUCUUGGCUUUAUUUUUCCGAACGCAGUAUGUGACAUCGUGGGCCGCAGACAGGAGAGCACGGCACAUACAGCCCGGCUCGGCGGCUCUCUCUCUGUAUUAUGGCCGAACGCGACUGGUGCACGAGAUGUUAUGGCUUUUAGUGGAGGGAAGCGUACAAAUGGCCAGCCACCCAACUCGGAGCCAAGGAAAGCCAUACAUCAUGCAACAACUCGUGCUCGAGCUUGCCGAUCCGUUCUGGCCGAGCUAGUUCCGCUCGAUCGCUCUCACCUAGCUCACUCACUCACCUCGGCAACACGCGGCACGGACGGCAGAUUGUGAGUGAGUGCAGUGCUUUUGAGGACACACAAAGGACCGUAUAUAAUGGAUUUGCGGCGUGCCGUUGUUUCGUCAAAGGGCACCGUCAGCAGUGGCCGGAGACGAGUGGGACUCGUUAGUGAUGGACUGUGUUUAGUUCUAGUGUUUGAUAGUGCUGGAUAACUCUAACGGAUUGCGAGAGGUACCGAAAGAUCAAUCUACAAAGAAUAUAACCAUGGAUAACUUAUGAUGGUGGUCGGAGACAGAGAGAGAGGAAACUCGGUGGCCCAAAAGGAUUGCUCAGCACGAAUAUAGUUCCACCUGCUAAAGCACCCUAAAGAGAAGCACAAGUAGCCGCUGUUUCGGCGAGUAAAUCUCCGUGGCUCGCUCCGCCCCUGAUCGCGUCACACACAAGCAGCCGCCAUCUUGGACACGCGCGCAAUGCAUCCCGCGAGUAAUGGCUGAGAGAGCCGGGAGCAAGCAUCUCGCAGCGGAGCGAAGUGCUUGUUUUCAUAAUCUCGAAUUGCUUAAUAAUUGCGGCCAAAUCACGGCAGCUAUGGAGCACCGAAUGGUCUAUAAUUUUACAAGCACGCAGUUUUUAAGUGUUUUGAAUGACCUGAGUGCCUCUUUCACGCAGAAUUGCCAAAAAAAGACGUAUAGUGUUCAAAUAAGUGAAAAACUAGGUUAUUUUACGUUUUUUUUAUUAAACAAGUGUAAUUAUCGUAAUUAUACUAAUUUACUGUAGCAAUAUAUCUCACGCAUGUCUUUUGUAAUCGAGUAUUUAGAUUUAACUUUUUAUUGUUAAAAAAUUACAAAUUAAAAUUUGAAGCAAACUGAAAUAAAUAGUUUUAUUUUAGA